UUUUUUUUUUUUUUUUUUUUUUUGUUACUGCCUUUUAUUUUUUAUCUACUUACAAUAAUCUGAGAACAAAGAAACUGAUAAAAAAAAAGGGGGCUCUUUUAAAACCCAGGACAUCAGAAUAAGGCUAGUCAGCUUUCCUUAGUGGACAAAGUGAAAGAGAAAUGUUCUAUUCCUUAAAGUGCGAGGAAGUAAAGGUUUCUCAAAGUCAGGGUAAUACAGCAGGUGACAGAGAGCACAUAGCCUACAGGCACGUCUACAGGCCAUUCACGUUCUCCUUACACUGGCUGUUAAAAGGAUGUUUUAUCCUGAGGCAAAGCUACACUGAAAGAGUUAAAAACCGCUUUAGAACAUCAUGUGUCAUGUCUCAGCACUUCAGAAAAACUGCUGAAGUGUUGCAAUACAUAUCAUGCUUUUUCUUCAUUUUGUUUAUUUUAUGUAAGAAAUUGUGCUUAAGCUUGAUCUAAAGCUUGAUCAAUCCUCAGCACUUUUCCUUGUUGUAUUUAAUUUUUUAGUAUUAUUUUCUUUUAGCACUUAUAUCAACAAACUGCAGACUAAACCAAAUAAAUUUAGUAUCCCAAACUGAAAAACAUUGAAAAAUAUUAAAAUUGCCUUACAGAUUAAGAAUAACUUCAGACAGUUAUCUAGUAGCUGAAGAUUGGCAUAGGUCCAUGAAACCAAUAGUACUACACUGAUUUACUUCAUUAGAGAUGCUGUCAAAAGAUAUUUGGGGGCUAAAGAAAGAAAAAAAUAAACCUAAAAAAUAAGCAUAUAAGGCAAAACGAAAAAGACCAGAAUUUUCACAAAAUUUAGAAUUUAUAAAAAGAUUAUCUUGAUUUGAAACAGCAGGGAAAUUAUAAGCAUUAAUGUUCCAACUACUGUAACUGGUAACAGUACUAAAAAAAAGAAAGUGAACAAAAGAGUCUUGUUUAUAUCAGGAUAGUAUGACCCAAGACCUUUCUCUGGCCUUUGAGAGCAUCUCUGUAUGAGGAGCUAGUCAGGAGUCCAACUGAAAGGACUGUGAGGAAACUGGCUACUGUUAUAAAACAUCUCUUGCAAAUAGGCAGGAACAAGUUUUGGAUCUAAAGUAAAAUAGAAUCUGUCAGAGGGGAAACUAAAAAAAAAAGAUUUAGUCUCUGUUUGCACAUAAAUUUUACAAUCUCAUGCAAGAUGGCAAAGAAAAAAAGCAGUGUUCUAACUGUCUGAAUCUGGAAGCAAGCUAAGGGGGAGUUGUUCUUGCAAGAAAAAGGCAGCAUGGAGUUUUGUCAAUAUUCACCAUCCGAGAACAGAGGAAAGCAGGUUGCUAGUCCAAGAUGGCGGGCUGUGUAGGAGAGUCAACCUGAAGUAACCUGAAGUUGUUUAGACCUGACCCCUGAACAAAUUAGAAUUCUUUCCAGGCUGAAUGAGUGAUUCCUGACCCUAAAAUUUUUUACUGAUGUACUUCAGAACUUGUAGAUUUGUAUAGAAGGCACUAUCACACAUACUUGGCCAAAUCAUAGUGGUCAAGUCAAAUCCUCCUGGGCAAAGACCCUCUCUAAUUGUUACCUUAUGGCUUUUGCCACACAGCUUUCAGCCUGCAGAGGAGAAAGGAGGAACAUCUACCCAGCUGCAUGGCCUUUGGAGCCACAAAAUCACUCAGGGUAGAAAAGGCCUAUAAGAGCAUUGAGCUGAACUGGAAACCUAUCAAUGUGUGGGAGGUGCAUUCACCAGAGGUUAGCUAAUAUUUUUGCUUUAGACCUUGUGGAGAGGUCUUCUAGUUGCCUAUAUACAGACAGAAAAUGAGCAAUAAAAUGUUUGAAGGCAGUCUAACUUAGAUAAAUAUUAGUGUAUUUGCUGACACCACCAACACAGUUCAUGUCAACUCUAAAAGCUCUGUUUAAUGUGAACAUCUGGCCCAUUAUGCAGAUGUUAACGGGAGUGAAACCAUCAUGCAUGUUCUGUUUAAACAGCCUACCGUGUCACCUAGUAACAGCAUUUGACUCUUAAUAGUGUGCUUUCAAGCUGACCCUUAUCUCAGAACUUUUUCCCAGAUAUUAACAAUCCCUUUGGCUUGUACAGUUCCCAAGAGUAUCUCUUUUAUAUGGUAUAUAUCUUGUUUAGUUUGAGUUUUUUCAUUCUACACAGCAAUCUUAAAUUGCUUUCUCAUCUGCUGCUGGACCCAUCUUGUUCAUCUCAGUAGCCAGAAACAACAUAAACUGAAAUAAAAGUGUGUUUCUAUAGAAAAGUAGGAAUCCCUCUGGCUAAUCUGACAUGUUUCAUGUUGGAUCAUCCUAGCUUCUUACACUGAAACUGUCAGAAAUUACAGUUACAGCUCAAAUAUAUACAACUUCUCCUAUGCUGGACCCCCUAUCAAACCAUGAUUACUGUCAUGACUUGGAUGAGUAAUAGAAAAGAGGAAGGGUUGUUGGGUUUUGUUACAAAUAACAUACCUGUCAGUGAAGUGAAAGGCAUGCCACAUCCAAAAAUGUAAUAUAUGACAUGCUUUUCACUUCACCAGGAGGGAUAGAAGAACAAAUAAACUACAUGUUUCAAAUGUGUCAUCUUCAACUCAUAAUUUGUCUAAGCAAUUUCCUUGCUAUUGUUUUCUACUAGGUGCUCCAAUCAACAAAGAAAUUGUAUUUUAGUCUAUUUACAAAAUGCAAUGUGUUGUCUGAUGAGCAGUUCUCACUUUUGAAAAAUACGAGUGAGUAAAAGCUGAUAUAAACAAAUGCACCUCUUGUUAACAGACUCUACAAUGAAGUCCAACCCUAAAGCUGAGCUCUGCAAAUCUGCAUGAGGAACCUUGAGUUUUUGAAGACUGAAGCAUGGUUGGACGUUGCAAACGCUGCAGACAGCAGAAAAACAUCUCUGGGUCUUCUGGUAAGAAAUCUAUGUUGUCUCAAGGGCUGCUACAUGUACGGACAGUUUCUUCUCAACUCACCAUCUCCCCUUAUUUUCCACCUCAAUUUUUAUUCCCAUAUUCCUUAGCACAGUUUAGACUAUUUUCUUUUAACUGCUGCUAUAAUUCUGUGAAAAGCAAUUUGAUCAUCUUCAGUACCUUAGGUGUGUUACUAACUUCCACAUAAUAUUCUGUACAAUUGUGUUCAUAAUUGAAUAAUCUAGGUUUUACUUGCGGUGACAAGAAACAGAGGGUUUGUUUUUAAACCUCCCCAAAAUACAAAUGCUGCUGUGGAUAGAGAGCCAUGAGUCAGAAGCUGCAGAAGCCCAGUUCUUAUCCCUGGUUUGUGUGUUCUCUUGGGUAACUGUCUUGCUGCUUGCUGCAGCAUAUUAAUUAUGAAAAUGGUAGAGUACUUUGGAGUCAAAGGAAGUUAGAAAAUGAUCCGGAAAUGUAGCAGCUCAAUAAUACCUCCAUAUUAAGUAUUUCACACUGGAUUCCAUUAUAAGCGUCAUAUUCAGUCCUAUGGCUUUGCACAGGAACAAAUUUAGUGAUUACUGCCAGAGUACAAGGAAAAAAAAUUCUGGCAAAUAUGCAGGCCAUUUAUCACAGCAUACUCAAGGUAUGGAAGACUAAAACAACUAUAUCACAACACUGGGCUAAUUAUUAGAAAAGGUUUUAAAAACAAAAUGAAAAAAAUCUGAAUUUAAAAAAAAUAUUUUUGGAAGUAUUAUCCUUAUAGGUAGCUUUUCCUAGAUGAUUACUUUGAUCAUCCAUCAACCCAGACAUGCUUUUUUUUAUGCGGGAAUUUAUUAAACUCAGCACUAUAGAAGUUCAACAUGGGC
ensembl:lncRNA